UACGUAGGGGGCAAGCGUUGUCCGGAUUUAUUGGGCGUAAAGAGCUCGUAGGCGGUCUGUCGCGUCGGAUGUGAAAACCCAGGGCUCAACCCUGGGCCUGCAUUCGAUACGGGCAGACUAGAGUACGGCAGGGGAGACUGGAAUUCCUGGUGUAGCGGUGAAAUGCGCAGAUAUCAGGAGGAACACCGGUGGCGAAGGCGGGUCUCUGGGCCGUUACUGACGCUGAGGAGCGAAAGCGUGGGGAGCGAACAGG
rnacentral:rRNA from 1 species